GGGUGUGAUCAUACCAGCAAUAAUGCACCGGAUCCCAUCAGAACUCUAAAAUUAAGCUUGCUUGGGCGAGAGUAGUAAUAGGAUGGGUGACCUCCUCGGAAGGCCUCGCCUUGCACCCC